AUCCUGGCUCAGGAUGAACGCUGGCGGCGUGCCUAAUACAUGCAAGUCGAGCGAACAGAUAAGGAGCUUGCUCCUUUGACGUUAGCGGCGGACGGGUGAGUAACACGUGGGUAACCUACCUAUAAGACUGGAAUAACUCCGGGAAACCGGGGCUAAUGCCGGAUAACAUGUUGAACCGCAUGGUUCUACAGUGAAAGACGGUCUUGCUGUCACUUAUAGAUGGACCCGCGCCGUAUUAGCUAGUUGGUGGGGUAACGGCCUACCAAGGCGACGAUACGUAGCCGACCUGAGAGGGUGAUCGGCCACACUGGAACUGAGACACGGUCCAGACUCCUACGGGAGGCAGCAGUAGGGAAUCUUCCGCAAUGGGCGAAAGCCUGACGGAGCAACGCCG
rnacentral:rRNA from 1 species